UUGGUUAAAUGUGAACUAGUAAGUGGUGACUGUGAUUAAGUAUGUGCUCAAGUGUUAAGUUGACUAAAAUCUGUGGGAAUGAUGAUUUUUAACUUGUCAUGUGCGUUGGAAAUCCCUGAGGCAAACGUUGGAAGGUUUAGGUUGUGUUUUGUUUUCUUUAUUUUGCUCGAGGACUAGCAAAAGUUAAGUGUGGGGGUAUUUGAUAAGCUUAUAUUUAUAUAUAUUUUACAUAAAAUUCACUUGCCUUUUCUUAGUUAGUUCCUUAUAUUUUUGAGCUAGUUACUAUGUUUUUGUG
rnacentral:lncRNA from 1 species